AGAGUUUGAUCCUGGCUCAGAUUGAACGCUGGCGGCAGGCCUAACACAUGCAAGUCGAGCGGAUGAAGGGAGCUUGCUCCCUGAUUUAGCGGCGGACGGGUGAGUAAUGCCUAGGAAUCUGCCUGGUAGUGGGGGAUAACGUUCCGAAAGGAACGCUAAUACCGCAUACGUCCUACGGGAGAAAGCAGGGGACCUUCGGGCCUUGCGCUAUCAGAUGAGCCUAGGUCGGAUUAGCUAGUUGGUGAGGUAAUGGCUCACCAAGGCGACGAUCCGUAACUGGUCUGAGAGGAUGAUCAGUCACACUGGAACUGAGACACGGUCCAGACUCCUACGGGAGGCAGCAGUGGGGAAUAUUGGACAAUGGGCGAAAGCCUGAUCCAGCCAUGCCGCGUGUGUGAAGAAGGUCUUCGGAUUGUAAAGCACUUUAAGUUGGGAGGAAGGGCAGUAAGCUAAUACCUUGCUGUUUUGACGUUACCGACAGAAUAAGCACCGGCUAACUUCGUGCCAGCAGCCGCGGU
rnacentral:rRNA from 2 species